rnacentral:misc_RNA from 1 species
GAUGAAGAACGCAGCGAAAUGCGAUAAGUAAUGUGAAUUGCAGAAUUCAGUGAAUCAUCGAAUCUUUGAACGCACAUUGCGCCCGCCAGUAUUCUGGCGGGCAUGCCUGUCUGAGCGUCAUUUCAACCCUCAUGCCCCUAGGGCGUGGUGUUGGGGAUCGGCCAAAGCCCGCGAGGGACGGCCGGCCCCUAAAUCUAGUGGCGGACCCGUCGUGGCCCCCUCUGCGAAGUAGUGAUAUUCCGCAUCGGAGAGCGAUGAGCCCCUGCCGUUAAACCCCCAACUUUCCAAGGUUGACCUCAGAUCAGGUAGGAAUACCCGCUGAACUUAAGCAUAUCAAUAAGCGGAGGA